CACCCGGUGGCACAAGGGGUGCAUCUGCAGUAUAUGGCAAGUCAUCUAUAUCCUCUGCAGAAGUUUCCUGUUCGAUUCAGGGUCGGGUGA